AAGACUUUGUGAAAGGGAAAGUAGCUGAGCUAGACCUUGAAGAAUAAAUAAGGGUUGGGGAUGCAGUUGGAUUCAAGAGACAAAGUUGUAAAGGCACAAGGCAACAAGGACAAACAUGUUUGGAGAUUGAAGAGAUGGUUGUUUGGCUGAGUCUGUGGAAAAUUAGAGGGAGAGAGUUAAGAAAAGGAAUUGAGGAGGCUCAUGGUAGAACCAGAGACAGUGCACUUUGUUUUCUUCAUAGGCAAUGAGGAAGAUGAAUGAUGUGAUACAGAACUGUGCCUGGGUCAAAGGUAUACAGCCUGGUGGCAGUAUAUAAGCUGGGUUGGACAAAUGAUUGGCUGAAGGCCAGGGAAUGAGUUAAGGGGCUGGUACAGGAGGUCUAAGCUGGAGGUGAGAAGGGCCAGACAGACAGGGCUGGUAGAACAUGGAAAGCAAGGGGCAAAUGAUAUUCAAAGAAAAAAAAAAGAGGUAUUUGCUACAGAAUGGACUGAUGGGUAUAGUGGAUACAGCGAUGGCUGAGGUUUUUAAAACCCAGUGACAAAGAAUAUGAGAGUGUCACAAAUGGAAAAAGAAGCUGGUGUGCAUGGGCAGAUAAUGAGUUGUUUUCUACUUGUCAGGUCUGAGGUGCUGCUGGUGGGACAUUGAAGUGGAAGCAUCCCACAGCUGGAAAUUUGGAACUGGAGGUCUGGAAAGAGGACAUUGGUUUGACAGUCACUCAUGGAUGAAAGUACUUUUGUGGGAGUCCAGAAGUCCAGUGAGGAAGUUCCAGCAUUCUUUUGGAUCAAAAAAAAAAUCAGAGAUUGGGUGCAUUGAAGAGGGAAGCAGCUUCUGACCCUCAGCGGUGCUGACCAGGGAGGCAGUAGUGGCCGGAAAAGCAGAAAAGAACAAAAGACUGACCAUCCUCAAGCAAGAGGGAAUUCUGUCAACAGACGGCAUUUGCAACAUGGGUUCUUCCCUGGGUUUCCAUACGGAUGACCUUCAAACUGGAAAUGCAACAUGGGAUUUUCUCUGGAUCUCCAGACUGCCAGCUUAUCCUGCAAAUUUUGGAUUUGGCAGUCUCCAUGAUCAUGUAGCCAAUUACUCAAAAUAAAUCUAUACAUAAAUA